rnacentral:rRNA from 1 species
AGCGAACGCUGGCGGCAGGCUUAACACAUGCAAGUCGAGCGGACGUAGCAAUACGUCAGCGGCAGACGGGUGAGUAACGCGUGGGAACGUACCUUUUGGUUCGGAACAACACAGGGAAACUUGUGCUAAUACCGAAUAAGCCCUUACGGGGAAAGAUUUAUCGCCGAAAGAUCGGCCCGCGUCUGAUUAGCUAGUUGGUGGGGUAACGGCCCACCAAGGCGACGAUCAGUAGCUGGUCUGAGAGGAUGAUCAGCCACAUUGGGACUGAGACACGGCCCAAACUCCUACGGGAGGCAGCAGUGGGGAAUAUUGGACAAUGGGCGAAAGCCUGAUCCAGCCAUGCCGCGUGAGUGAUGAAGGCCCUAGGGUUGUAAAGCUCUUUUGUGCGGGAAGAUAAUGACGGUACCGCAAGAAUAAGCCCCGGCUAACUUCGUG